UAAAAAUAUCUAAAUAGAUCCAAACAUCCGAAUAUCUGUAAAUAGUUUAUUGGGAUGUUGAAUCUGUUGCAGACUCGGGUGC